rnacentral:tRNA from 1 species
GAGGAUAUAGCUCAGUGGUACAGUGCAUGCUUAGCAUGUGUGAGGUCCUGGGUUCAAUCCCCAGUACCUCA